rnacentral:rRNA from 1 species
AAGUCGUAACAAGGUUUCCGCGAGGACAGGAUCCUUCUUGAAGCCUUUUGCACAACGACUAUAACCGUGUGCAUGGUCCUUCAUUUGAGGGCUACGUCACUAAAGUGCUGGAAUACAACCUUGUAAACCUGCAGCCAAUCAUGAAUUGAAUUUUAUGCUUGGUCCACAGAUUAGCUAGUGAUGGUCAAUAAGACGUUGAAUGUCAAGGGUCCCGGGAGAUAUCAUGGUUAAAGAUGUAAGAUUAUAUCAGCACGAUUAAGGGGAAUCCAGCAAAUCUGGGACCCAUGGAAGUCACGCUUGCAGCGAUACCCCCACUAGAAGAUCUUGCAUUGUAGCCAUAUCCUUGGGUCUUACAUUGGAUCCUUGUUGAUCAAGAUAUAAUCGGUCUUGUAAUGAUAAUUAUAACCGAGCAACGUUCCGUAGGUGAACCUGCGGAAGGAUCAUUA